rnacentral:rRNA from 1 species
CCUACGGGCGGCAGCAGUGAGGAAUAUUGGUCAAUGGACGAGAGUCUGAACCAGCCAAGUAGCGUGAAGGAUGACUGCCCUAUGGGUUGUAAACUUCUUUUAUAUGGGAAUAAAACGUUCCACGUGUGGGAUUUUGUAUGUACCAUAUGAAUAAGGAUCGGCUAACUCCGUGCCAGCAGCCGCGGUAAUACGGAGGAUCCGAGCGUUAUCCGGAUUUAUUGGGUUUAAAGGGAGCGUAGGUGGAUUGUUAAGUCAGUUGUGAAAGUUUGCGGCUCAACCGUAAAAUUACAGUUGAAACUGGCAGUCUUGAGUACAGUAGAGGUGGGCGGAAUUCGUGGUGUAGCGGUGAAAUGCUUAGAUAUCACGAAGAACUCCGAUUGCGAAGGCAGUUCACUGGACGGCAACUGACACUGAGGCUCGAAAGUGUGGGUAUCAAACAGGAUUAGAUACCCUAGUAGUC